rfam:TPA: Bos taurus chromosome 19, whole genome shotgun sequence.
UCCCUGGUGGUCCAGUGGUUAGGACUCUGUGCUUCCACUGAAGGGGACCCAGGUUCAAACCCUGGUCAGGGAA